UGGCCGAUAAUCUGAUCCCAACAAUGCCAUAUCAAAAACUAGAUUUACUCGAAGAAUAUUCUAUGGGAAUCCUUUAGAAUAGACUCUAAAUGGGUCCUUCCUAAGAUCAUUCUUCCAUAACUGCAUUGAAGCAUGACAAGAUAUACAUGUCUUUAUAGAAUGACUGGUCACAUGUGAGAUCAUGUGAAGAUUCAUUGGAAUCAAUUAUCAUUAUCUACCAAGAUAUGUCACUUGUAUUUCUUAUGGGUUAUAUUUAUCCUCGCAAAUUACAAAAAUGUAAGAGGAUAAUAUGCAAAUAAAUUACUGUGAGAUUCACAAUGUCUCUACCAAUGUUUAUAUUCCAGAAUCACAUUCGUGGAAUUGGUAUGAGACAACAUUGAUGUUUGCGAAAUUCAGGGGGAGUAAAAUCCCAAGUUAUAACCUGUUGGUGAUCUUUAGAUCAUUCGUAUUAUACUCUUUUCCCUUUAUGAGUUUUCCAAGAUGGUUUCUCAUAUAAGGUUUUUAACGAUACAAUAUAAAUACAAGUGCGGAUGUAUGCCAUAUUGGUUUCUCCUUAUAUUUUUCUCAGUGGGUUUUAAAGGAGUUUUCGAUGGCAUAUUAUUAUAAGGUUUCUCCUCAAUUUUUCCCACAGGGUUUUUGUAGGAGUUUUCAGUUUGCAAUAUAGAGAUGACGAACUGAUCAAGGGGGAGUGUUGAGAAAUAAAACAUGUGAUCAAUUGUAUGGGAGGGAUGCCUCCCAGGAGGUGUCUGUUGGGGAAAAGAUGUAUCCCCAACAUACCCCUUCAUCUUGUAUAUAAGUGGGUCUCCCACAUUGCAAUGAGAAGAGUGUCUCAUUUGGACUCUUCAUUUGUCUAUCUUUGCA
rnacentral:lncRNA from 1 species